rnacentral:lncRNA from 1 species
CUUCAAACAGCCCUCAUUGUCCACUGCACUCAUGUCUCUGCACACUUUGCUGAAGCAUGCAUCGGGGCUGCAUUAUUUUUUGACACUGGUGCUUUUCACAACGCAAGCCGCUGGGCUGCAGUGUUAUGGCUGUAAUAUAUUCCAGGGCCGGCGCUAUGUGGACCACGGCUGCUCCAGUCCUGAGGUCAUCACCUGCUCCCCAUCACACAAGGGCUUCAAGCAUCGCUUCUGCAUUCGGACCGAGAGCACGGCACAGGGGACUGUGUUGGCCAGUGGGUGUGCUACCUCCCGGCAAUGUCACCAACAAGAGCUCCCGGGAGUGAGGAUCCACUGCUGUGAUUCUGACCUGUGCAACGGCGCCCCCUACGGACAAACAUCAUUCCUGCGUGUCCUGGGCCUGGCAUCAUCAGUCAUGCUGUGGCUGCAGCAGAUAUGAAAAGCAGUGGCUCUAAAUUCCAGCCAUGAGGACCAGCAGCAAUGUGUCCUUUAAUGUUUAAGUUUUUUUUUUUUUCUUGUGUAAAAAAAACAUCUCAGUCAGGGUGAACAUAGAACCAUGAGCUCAGAACCCUUGCUACAGGCAACUGGAGUGUAACAGAUCCGCUUUUCUCUCCAGAAAAAUAUGUUAAAAUUAUCUUGACCUAUAUUGGUCAUAAUAGUAAGGUUUUAAAUGUCUUUAAAAACACUUUGAUAAUCUGUAUUUGUACAAAAGUGUUUUUCUUAUCACAAGAAUGCAAAUGAAUUGAAGUGUUAAAUUACUGUUUGAAAAAGGGGCAUU